GACCGAACACACGGGGGAAGGUGCAUCUAGUAGGCCGUGGUAGAUGGAGGGUGAACAAACGAGUGAGAUAUUGGAAAUUGAUGGGAUUGUUGGCUGGGAUUUGUCUGCCAAAUGCGAUCAGUGCACGGUGUGAAAGGUAUUGUCAGAUUUUUUUGGUGUUGUGUUCGGAUGACGGCAACGACGACGAGGGAGCAUUUUCGAAAUUAUAACGCUUCCGAUUCGCAUUGUUCCGCUUCACGUGGAUGUGUGUAUGGGUAAGACAAAUUGGUUUGUGUUCGCUUUUGUUCAAAAGAAGAGCACGUGCCACGUCCGUGUAGCGAAUUGAUUGCUCUUUGAGCUGCGUGAUAAUAUGGGAAAAAAGGAAUUCACUUUUCUCGUGAGACAAAGGUGUACUGAGAUUGACUGUUGGUGUAGUAUAAAGCCUUAAAGGAUUUUUUCUUACGGAGUAAUUUUUGAUGUUUUCUUCCCUGAACUUGAACUUCAGGUUCGGGUGGAGAAAAUUGACUUAAGUCACUUUGUUCCAGCGUCAAUUACCCUAGUCGACGAAUUAUUUACUGUCAGAAACCUACCCGAGUCAGAUCACAUGGAAGCUUCAAAACUGUUGUCAGUGAUUUAUAAGUAGGCAACGGCACCGCUUCACUCACGAUUCCGUAUAGGAUCACUCAAGCAGAUGACGAUACCGUCUUCCAUUUCUUUUCUUACCGAAUGUCACCGGUUUCGACUGCAGAGAACAAGAGCCGCACAAUUUGUUGAAUUCUUCUCUACUGGUGUGGACGAUGUGGUGUAUGCUGGAUCAGCCACGGGAACGGCCUGCCUGCCUGCUGCUGCUUAUGUUGCUGCGGGAAAAUAUGCUGCUGGUAGGAAGUACACUGCUGGUUCUGCAAGCAUCCCGAAGUUGCCGCACGGAACGUGAGAGUGGAAGUUAAUUAAAUUCAAUUAAAAUCAAUUUAGUACUAAAUGAAGGUAUACUCGUAAUCAUCAAUAACCAUUCCGGACAAAACGGAGACCGGGUUUCAAGAGAGAGAGAGAAUCCCUUUUUCAGGCACAUACACACAGUUUUCCCCCCGUUCACUAACGGGUGUUUGCCUAGGACGGAUCAUUGGCGGUCAUUGGCACCGUCACUGCAGACACUCGGAUGUGAAAACGGCGAACCUGACUGUUGAGUUAAUUGGCAAUGCGGGAUCUUUCGUUUCGUAGUUGAAUUGGCUGAACAGUGAAAUCAGAUAUGAAACUUUGUUAUUGAGAAGAUCGGACACUCAUGUUCGAUUGAGUCUCCGAUCUAACCAAACAAAGAAUGUUGAGUGCCGAAAGAAAUGACCUUAACGAAUUAUAGUGAGGAACACGUUACGUGUCUGGAUUUGUGAUUUAAAUCGCCGAACGCUACAUAUUCACAUAUGUUUCCAAGCAUUAGAGCAACGUGCUCAUGGUGACAGUAACUUCUACUAUUAUGCCGAACUUUGCCGGCAUUAACUGUAUCCUGAUGUGUUCAGUGUUAAUGAUUCCAAAAAAAACUAUCUGACUGUAAUAAUAAUAAUUUUUAACACAAGAUUUAGGAC